AUUGAACGCUGGCGGCAGGCUUAACACAUGCAAGUCGAACGAGUGGCGGACGGGUGCGUAAUGAUUGGGAAUCUAGCUUAUGGAGGGGGAUAACUACGGGAAACUGUAGCUAAUACCGCGUACAAUAGGAUGAGCCCAAGUGGGAUUAGGUGGUUGGUGAGGUAAAGGCUCACCAAGCCGACGAUCCCUAGCUGGUCUGAGAGGACGACCAGCCCCACUGGGACUUGGACACGGCCCAGACUCCUACGGGAGGCAGCAGUGGGGAAGAUUGCGCAAUGGGGGAAACCUGACGCAGCCAUGCCGCGUGAAUGAAGAAGGCCUUCGGGUUGUAAAGUUCUUUCGGUAGCGAGGCGUUAACUACAGAAGAAGCACCGGCUAACUCCGUGCCAGCAGCCGCGGUAAUAC
rnacentral:rRNA from 1 species